rnacentral:rRNA from 1 species
AGUGGCAGACGGGUGAGUAACAUGUAGGUAUCUACCCUUUGGCCUGGAAUAACACGAGGAAACUUGUGCUAAUACCGGAUAAGUCUUUACGGAGAAAGCUUUAUGCACCAUUGGAUGAGCCUGCACUUGAUUAGUUUGUUGGUGGGGUAAUGGCCUACCAAGACUGUGAUCAAUAGCUGAUUUGAGAGGAUGAUCAGCCACAUUGGGACUGAGACACGGCCCAAACUCCUACGGGAGGCAGCAGUGGGGAAUCUUGCACAAUGGAGGAAACUCUGAUGCAGCGAUGCCGCGUGAGUGAAGAAGGCCUUUGGGUUGUAAAGCUCUUUCGUCGGGGAAGAAAAUGACUGUACCCGAAUAAGAAGGUCCGGCUAACUUCGCGCCAGCAGCCGCGGUAAUACGAAGGGACCUAGCGUAGUUCGGAAUUACUGGGCUUAAAGAGUUCGUAGGUGGUUGAAAAAGUUAGUGGUGAAAUCCCAGAGCUUAACUCUGGAACUGCCAUUAAAACUUUUCAGCUAGAGUAUGAUAGAGGAAAGCAGAAUUUCUAGUGUAGAGGUGAAAUUCGUAGAUAUUAGAAAGAAUACCAAUUGCGAAGGCAGCUUUCUGGAUCAUUACUGACACUGAGGAACGAAAGCAUGGGUAGCGAAGAGGAUUAGAUACCCUCGUAGUCCAUGCCGU